ACGCCGUAGAAGGCGAAUUGCGAAGAUGUCCGAAGCACACUGAUGCUCAGUACCCAGUGAUUUUGCUUCACCGAGGUGACGAGUUCAACACAACGUCUUAGGGGCCUUCCAGUGUUGAAGUGGCGCAAGACUGCUUCGUAUGUGUGAUCCAGGCACUCAAGUUGACAUGACAGAAAUAACUGAAAGCAGUCUUUGGACAGGUGCAGAACAUUAGUAUGACGUCAACAAGAGG